GACGAACGCUGGCGGCGUGCUUAACACAUGCAAGUCGAACGGUAAGGCCCUUCGGGGUACACGAGUGGCGAACGGGUGAGUAACACGUGGGUGAUCUGCCCUGCACUUCGGGAUAAGCCUGGGAAACUGGGUCUAAUACCGGAUAGGACCACUGCCUGCAUGGGUGGUGGUGGAAAGCUUUUGCGGUGUGGGAUGGGCCCGCGGCAUAUCAGCUUGGUGGUGGGGUGAUGGUCUACCAAGGCGACGACGGGUAGCCGGCCUGAGAGGGUGACCGGCCACAAUGGGACUGAGAUACGGCCCAGACUCCUACGGGAGGCAGCAGUGGGGAAUAUUGCACAAUGGGCGCAAGCCUGAUGCAGCGACGCCGCGUGAGGGAUGACGGCCCUCGGGUUGUAAACCUCUUUCAGCACCGACGAAGCGCAAGUGACGGUAGGUGCAGAAGAAGGACCGGCCAACUACGUGCCAGCCGCCGCCGUAA
rnacentral:rRNA from 1 species